AAACCAACCCAACUCUGGUCCAUGACUAUCUCCUUUUAAAGCACUGGAAAAAUUAGUUAAAUAAAUCACUUUAAUUCUUCAUUUCUACUACUAAACAAGAUAUUUUCAUGUGUGCGCAGUUUCGCAAUAUAAUAAAAAAAAUUAUUAUACAAUUUUAUGGUUUUAUAUAUAUGGAAGCAAGCAAAGCCACAAGAAUCAGAGAAAAAGAUGUGAAAAUUAAAGUAUAUAUACAAUAAUAAUUAAUCUAAAAAACAGUUUGCAAUACCUUCUGUAAAGAAAUAUCCUCACCCAC
rnacentral:lncRNA from 1 species